rnacentral:rRNA from 1 species
AUUGAACGCUGGCGGCAGGCCUAACAUAUGCAAGUCGAGCGAGCGGCGGAAGGGUGAGUAAUGGAUGGGGACUGCCCGAUAGAGGGGGAUAACUAAUGGAAACGGUGGCUAAUACCGCAUAAUAUCGGAUAACACAUAUGGGAUUAGCUAGUAGGUGGGGUAAAGGCUCACCUAAGCGACGAUCUCUAGCUGGUCUGAGAGGAUGAUCAGCCACACUGGGACUGCGACACGGCCCAGCCUCCUACGGAGGCAGCAGUGGGUAAUAUUGCACAAUGGGCUCAAGCCUGAUGCAGCCAUGCCGCGUGUAUGAAGAAGGCCUUAGGGUUGUAAAGUACUUUCAGCGGUGAGGCGUUACCCGCAGAAGAAGCACCGGCUAACUCCGUGCCAGCAGCCGCGGUAAUUC